rnacentral:lncRNA from 1 species
AAAGAUUACAAGGUGAUUACCGACUCCACGGACUCUACCUCUCUUAACCUCCUAUGAAUCUUCGCGCUACCCUCCGGGUUGUCCACGCCCUCACGUCCGAAUCCACGAACGCCUCCACUUCGAAUCCACGAAGCUUCAAUCACGCCGAAUCCACGACGCCACUCGAAUCCACGAGCCCACGAUCCGAAUCCACGAACCGCCGUCAAAUACGCCGAAUCCACGACGCCACCAUGAAGAAUAUCAUGAAUAUGGUGAUCCUUCGCCUUAGGAGUAUCGUAGAGAAACCAGGGAAUGAACUCCACGCGAAGCGGAAUCAAAUCGACAUAUUAAUAUCAAUUCAAUUAUCUCUAUUGACUAAAGAGCUUUUUGUAGAAAAUAGGUUAAGAUGAAAUCCGAGCCUCUAGGUUUCUCAAACAUUAUUCUUAUGAUGCUAAUCAGUUAGAGAACCCAAUAGCUUAUUUAUAGACUUUAGAAUCAAUUGGAGUCGAAUUAGAAAGUUUUUUACAAAACGCACCUUGUACCCGAACAAGGAAUGUUGUCCAGGUACACCAUGACGGAAGAUUUUUCUGCGAAGCUUCUGUACCCUGGAUAGGCUGUUGCUUGUUCCGCGAACAGGGCUUGUACCGGGUAAACAUGAAGGUUGUACCGGAACAACCAUCAAACUUCUCUGCGCAACGUUGAUGGCUGUACCCUGGACAGAAAACCCUUGUACCGGUACAACAAUGCAAUUUUCGCUGAAAAUGCAUUGUUUUGAGUUUUACAAGCUCUUAGAAACUUUCUAAUCACUUACAACUUGAAAACAUAAUUCUAAGAUCUAUAAUUAAGUAUGAAUCACCAUAAACAAGAUUUAAAGCUUACCUAAGCAUCGUGAUUCAUGUUUUACGUGCUUUGCGUCCUUUCCGAUUCUUCGAAGUCUUGAAUUCUUCGAUCUUCAAUACUCCGCUCCGGACUUCUUCAAGACUCCGACUCGACCCACAAAACUUGCCAACACAUAGGACCUAACAUAGAUCAUUACCCUCGUGUAUAGCAAGAGAAAAGAAAGAAAUGUAAAAGCCUUUUGUGAAAGAAAUGUGAUGUACAUAUUGGUGAGGUUAUCAUUUUGUAUGUAAAGAGAAGUUGUAAUAAGUUAAAGAAUGUAAAUAUUUCGUAUAUGAGAAUGUUGUAAUAGAUAGUUUAAUUCUCUUGCAUCUGUGAUAUACCUCUCGCAAAUGUUUGAUGCUAAUAUCUCUUGCUUGGAUAUGCAUGCAUAGACUUUGUUACGCCUUGGACGGGGAGGGAAAACUCUAUCUAUUCGGCGGAUUUGUUUUGGGCACGAACUAUCCCAAUUAGCAAUGUCGGGUCGUGAUAGUUACGCUCCGACGAAAGGCCCGGGUCCAAGCGGUUACCGAGGCCCAUCCAGGCCCACGAGGAACCUUCACCGAGUCACAUUUGAUCCCCUAUUCUUUCCAGAAUUACAAUUUAGUCCUCAAAUUACCAGUAUAAAUAGGGACAAAUGUAACAGAAUUGGUUACGAUUUGGAAAUUCAAACUUUAUCUUCUUCCUGUUAUCUCUCUCUCUCUCCCCCCCUCUCUCUUUCUCUCUCUCUCGAUCUCUUUACUCUUCCCCUAAUCCCCAAAUCCUUGGAUCUACUCCACGCUCCAUUAAUGGAAGCUCUGUGAGAAAAUUCCUAUAGGGUUUUGAGUCCGAUUAACAUUGUCGCCAUCCAAGCCUCAGCAAUUCCUCAUCAUAGGCAGUUGCGGCUCCGAUUUGGUUUUUUGAUAUCCGGUGAUUGACGAAGCAUCACAAGUGGUAUCAGAGCAGUUCCGAACCCAAGGCAAGAGAGAAUUGAUCAUUGCAGCUAAGCUUAGUGCAAAGCAUCACAAGUGGUACCAGAGAGAUCAUACGAGAGAGAGUUUUGUGCAUAGAAGACGAGGUAAUACUAUUUGCGAGUUGUUCAUUCUGAGUGCUUCCAUAUUAGAGAUCCAUAGAGAUAUCAGCAUAUGUUGUUAUCCUCGAUUUAUGGGAACCCACCUCCAUAUUGCAUGAUCCUUGGAUUCAUAUAAUUCUUGUGAUUUGAACAAUAGUUCAAUUGGAGCAGUGUGAAUUGAUCAGUGGGCAGAGAUUGGGAAUAAGAGUCAAAACUGGUUCAAAUUUAGCCCAACAACCAAUAAGAUAGCAGAGGGUACUAGAUUGAAAGAUCUGAUCGAACAUAUCACCACAUUGGAGAGUAGAAUGCAGAAACUCACUACAGAUUAUCAAGUAAAAGUAAAGAAAUUAACUAACUAGAUAGCUAAGGUUAGAGAGGUUGAGCAGCAACAUUAUGUAGCUUUGCAAGAUGAAGCAACCAAGAGGCACGAGCUAAUGCUUCAGGAUAAUGCUAGCAGGCACGAGGAGUUGCUGAAGUUACUGGCAAACCAACCAUCUCAACCCAGGUUUGCUGUAAUAUACCGAACUUAUACAAUUAUGAAGGUUCGGUGGGAAUUAGUUUGAAAAGCUAUUAAAAUUGUUCCGGCAAAGUUCAGGGAAACAUUCGAGUGUUUUUGGUGCGUAUUAGGCACGAAAACGGAUUCGGGAAGCUAUACUGGACUUUGGCCUAAAUCCGGCAAAGUACAAGUGAGAAGAUGGUUUAAACAUGCUAAUAAAUGUGCUUUAAGGGUUUUGGAAUGGUUGGAAGUGGAUUAGAGGCUUUAGGAGCGAAAACGAGGAUUUUCGAAAAAUGUUGAUUUUUGGGCUGUGGGACUCUCGGGAUCUGGACCCUAAAGCCGGGAUUCGGACCCCGCACGCGUGGGUAGCCCAGAAUGAGGGCAUUUUGGUAAUUUGUUGAAGGGGACUUAUAAAGGAGACCCUCCCCUCUCUUUUUCCUCCUCCCUCAGCCAAAACACACACACACACACAUAUGGGAGAGAGAGAGAAAAGCUCUCUUCUCUCUCCCAAUCUCUUCUUCCUCUCUCUUGAUCUCUCCCAAACUUCGGGUUUUUGGUGGAGAGCGAGCUUGGGAACGUGUAGGGAGCGGUGGAUCGAGCCCUCGAGCGCUUGGUGGCUCGACGUACUUCCGACCCGAGGUUCGUUUUUGGGUUAAAAGUUUAGGAUUUGAUUUAAAUCCUUUAAAAUGGAUGUGUUGGAGAUCCCUAGACUAUUUUAAGCUAGAUAAUCAUGUUUCUCCAUGAUGUAAUUGGAGAAAAAGGAAAUCUAGGGUUUAGAUGUAGCACACUGGACCUUUGCAAAUUGCAAGGUUCGAGUGUUUGAUCUGUGAUAUGAGUUUUUCCAGAUAUUCUGGAGGGUCGUUGACAGUGUUCUGACAUAUGGCUCGUAUCCCAAGAAUUGUGAUAUUUAUAGUAGCGGUAAGGUCGCCGAAGUGGAGGACUUAGGCUGCUCUCGGGUUCCCUCAGCAGGGCUGUGUACCGGUACAACAUUGAAGUUGUACCGGAACAAGUGGUUGUACCGGUACAGCACCGGAAGUGUACCGGUACACUUGGCUGUUUCCUGCGAACUCGAACCUCGGAUUUGCGCGUACAGGGUUUUGUACUGGUACACUUUUUCGCAUACCGGUACACAAUGCAGUCAGUAGACUGCUUGUUCUGAGAGGGUAUUUUUGUAAUUGUUGCUUAUCUAUAAAGCACCUCACGCCCCUUUAGAGUUCCCUGAGCUUGAGACCAGAGGAUGAGAAGGUAGGGAGGCCAUUUAAACCCUCUCUUUGAUUUUCCUUCUUUCGUUGGGAUUUUUGAUGAUUUAUUCCCUCUUUUUGCUUCUUGGUGUGAAUUCCACCAUGGAAGGAGCUUGGAGCUUGGUUUUGGAGCUAGUUGGAGGAGAGGUCUUCAACCCUAGCUCAUCCCAAGCCUUGUUUGGAGCUUCUCUUGAGGUUAGUUGCUUGUUUCCCCUCUCUAGAUUAUAAUUUUCAUGAUUUUUGUAUAGAAACCCUAGAAAUGGAAAACUUAGGGUCUAUUUGGGAGUUUUGGAUUUAGGGCUUUUGAAGCUUGAUUUCUUGGAUCAGAGCCUUUCUCUAGGUGGGAUUGGAAGGGUUCUAGCUCCCAUUUGGAGCUUGUGAGGAGAUUUCUACUCUAUAGGUGAGUUUUGGCCCUUUUGUUGAGUUGGUUAAUGUCUAACCUUUGUGUUGUUCGUAACGUUCGUUUAUCUCUCCUUUUAUUACCUUUAGGGUGCUAGGAGGAUUGUGGGCAACUUCGUUCGGCGAAACAAAAAGUCCCGAGGAGACUUGGUGGGUUUGGCCUCACCAAAAUGAAUAAAAUUCUCAUUUGAUGCUACUUAUCGUAAAAUGAAAUUGCAUACUUAUUCAUGCUAGAUAGAAUAUUUGAGAAUUUUAGAAUGUUUAAAAUAUAUAGGUUAUAUAUAAUACAUUUUUGGAUCUCUAUGUAGUAGAGGGUUUCAUGUUGGGUUUAAGUAUGUGAAUGGCAUCUUGGGUUAUGACUGGGAAUCAUGUUUCAUAUAGUAAGAAUGAUAGGUGCAAUGCACUCUUGGACUUAGAACCCAGGUUUCCAUGGUAUUGUAAGCGAAUGUCAUAAAGAGACAUUGGGCUUGGAGUUGGUAUAGUAAGCUAAUGUCAUAAAGAGACAUUGGGCUUGGAGUUGGUAUAGUAAGCUAAUGUCAUAAAGGGGAAUUAGGCUUGGACUAGAUAUUGACUUAGCAAGCUAAUGUCAUAAAGGGGCAUUAGGCUUGGAAUAUGUGUGGAUUUAGUAAACCUAAUGUCAUAAAGUGGCAUUAGCGUUGGAACAAGAUUUUGGCAUAGUGUGAUAUAAUGCCAUAAAGGGGCAUUGAACAUAAUGAAUGGUUAAACCUUCACUUGGGAUAUUGUGUCACGCCCCGAGCCCGCCUAUUUGGUCGGUUUCGGGCACGCCAACAGACCGCUGAACGGACAGGGUUUUCCCUGUACCGCGGACAGAGUCUCCCCUGUACAUUCAAGGCGUCGCAAUCAAUACAAUGUACGAAGUUCCAACCAGGAAUACAUUUCAAUCAAAGAUUGCAUAAGGAAGUAUCAAAAACAUAAUCUACUUGUUAUUACAAGCAUUCACAUUCACCAUAUACAUUUUACAUCACAAUUACAUAUUACAUUUAACUUCCAAAUACAAUCAUGCUUUUAUUACAAAUUAUUGCAAUCUUAUUCCUUUCAUUUUCUUACAUUCCUAAGUAGCCGACUCAGGGUACCGCUAUCUCUGGUCUCGGUGGUAGGGCGCUAACUACGGAGCUACGCCCUCGCCUCGUGCCGCUGCGCCGCUAACGUGUGAACCUGUAACACCCCAAAACAACAUAGGGUGAGAACCAACUCCAUGGUUCCCAGUGGGUACGACCAUCCAAGGAAAAAGCUCAACCAAUAGGUCUAAUGAGGCACUGCAACAGGUUAGUCCAAUAACAUAUAACAAAUAUUUAUACAUUUACCCGAUAUUGAACUACAUGUCAUGCCUCGCGAUAUGUAAUAUGAAAUCCAUGCAACUAUACAAGUAAAAUAAAUGAUUUUACUUUCUAUCAUGCUAUUCAUAGCUUUUCCAUAAUUUAUACAUCUUGCCACUUUACAUCAUUAGUUAUUUGCUCCUAAGAUUUACCUCUACCCUAGCCAAGCUAACCACCUGACUCGGCCUCGAGUCAAUCAUCUGCGCUAUACCGUAUGCAUCCAGGCUCGAGGUGAAGGACGUCCCACAUGGACCUCAGCCAUAAAUCCACCAACUGGAAUACCAAAUCCAUAGCUCAUAAUGCAUACUUUCACACAUUCACUUUGGCCUUUACCCAAUCUUUCUGGGGUUCAUCAAGUUCGCCCCAAGCUCACAUCUCACAUGUCCCAUUUACCGGGAUUAGCAUUAGGAAAUGCCCCCGAGGGAUCCAUCUCGUCUACCGGGGAAGGCACAAGGCACUGUCACCCGAGGGAUCUUCGCCGGGCACUCUCACCCGUGGUGUCUAUACUCCGGAGUACACCGCCUGUAGAGGAGCGACCUCGCACAAGCCGGAACCGAUACAUGUGAGUAUGAUCCCAUCCUCAAUUUGAGGAGGUAUAGCCAACCUGUUCCAUAUCUCUAUGCCUCAAUGCUAAUGAUAGGUUUUUACCUAAUCAUGCAUAUACCGCUAAUACCAAGCCACAAUGUCACUUUGGGUUAAACCUUGUUUAACUACUUUCUUUAACACUAGGUUCAUGUCCAACCUAUGUUCUUUAAUGCUAGAUUAAAUGCCACACAUGAUUCCAACCUAUGUUCUUUAACACUAGGUUCAAUUCCACUUGAUGUCCAACCUAUGUAUAUUCACACUAGGUUCAUAUGUUCUUCAUGUCCGACCUAGGUUUACUAACACUAGGUUCAUAUCAUUCAUGUUCAACCUAUGUCCAAGACAGUAGGUUUAAUGCCACUCGAUCUAAUGUAUAUAGAUUGUCCACAUCGAGCAUUAUACUAGUUUUCCAAUGUCGAGUUCUCUAAUCAACCUAGAGUUAUCGACCCCAAGUUUAACAUGUAAAUGUCAACUAAUAUAAUCCUCUAUAUGUCAACAUGCAUAGUUCAUCUAUCACAUGCAAUAUGUUAUCAUGCACAUAUACCACUAGCAUCACAUGAUAUGUCCUUUACUUAGCAUUCUUAUUUUAGCAUCCAUAAAAUAUGCUUAUCAUACAUGGACGUAGCAUUUUUAUCAUGUCAUCAUCUAUAUUCUUAGCAUUAACCACAUGCUUGCAUUUAUUAUUUCUACAUCAUGCUUAUUAUACCAUUACUUAGCAUUCUCCACAUGCAUGUUUAUCAUGUAUACUUUAGCAUUAAUCAAUGCAUUCAUCUUGCAGUAUUUACACUAAAUCAUCAUGCAUUGUUUGGUAGCUCAUUUAGCCUUCAUCUCAUGCAUACUUAUGCUAUAUCAAUAGCUACCACUACAUGCAUCAAUGAUGAACAUUUAUCUUAGACAUACAGGCGACAUAGUCGCUUCGGUAAACACAACCCACCUCAAGUUGCUUUCCGAUUGCUUGUCGACACUUGCAAUCGGCCUUCCGCGGCACCCAUGUCCGGUUCAGCCCGAUUUUGCUAAUACUCACCAACCGUGCGUCGAAUCGCGGCUCCAAAAAUUAUAGGUCUUCGGUUAUGUGCCACGGUGCUCCAAAUCCGUUUUCAUGAUUUUACGAUGUCGCUUCGGCCCUCCAGGCGGAAACGAAGCCUAAACGUCCGUUUCUUUAAUAACUUCGCGUAGGCUUGACGAAUCGACGAACCGACUUCGCCAAUGCGUUCUUUUACCUAGUAAUUUGGUUUACGGAGGGUCAAAUGAGAUCAAACCCUACUAUUUUACAAAUUCCCAUUCGGAGUCCUAAUAUGCAAUUAACCUCCAAAUAAUCCAAAUUAAAUGGAGCAACAUGUUAACAAUGCUCAUUAGAGACUAUUAGAACACUUAAAGCUAAGGAUUAAGUGAAAUCCCAAAAACUUACCACAAUGUGAACGCUGCGAUGAAAGCACGCCGCUCCAACGGCUGCACGAGAGCUCGAACCAACACCUCCAACGCGUUCGCAAGCAUCUUCUCCAUCAACCCUCAAAUUUUUAGAGAGAGAUUUAGAGAGAUGAGAGAGAUCUUUAGAGAGAGAAAGGAGGGUUUCUCUCCCCCUUCUCCAUGCGUGCGUGUGUGUGGCGUGUGUGCUGCUCGGGCUGAGAGGGAAGAAGAAGCAAAGCUUCUUUAAUUAACACCCUCAAAACACUAUUUAUCUUCGGGCAGUUCGAAAUCUGAUAUCUUUCGCCGGAGCUCCCUGAAUAUCCGUUUGAGCUCAAAUUUGACAGUCAUGUUCGGUUUUACUUAACCAGUCCAAAAAAAUAGUUUCUCACACUAUUUUUAUUUAUUUUUAUUUUUAUACCAAAAUCUAGUAUGUUACACAUUGGACUAGACCUAUGAGUUGCUAGCGAUCAUUUUCAUGAUAGAGCCAUGAUGACCGGAUCGUUGAGACGAUGACUUUGUUUUCUUGCCAUUUGUGCUCAUUCUCACAUGCUUGUGAGGGUUGCUCCCUACAAGCCGGCACUCCGGAGUUGGCCCUUUUGCGACGCAGUUCGCGCGUGUGGGAUUGAGACGCCUGUAGGGUCGCGUUGGAUAGCCUUAUUCCAGUUUGGGAUGAUGUGCUACCACGGGCAACUAGGCGGCGAGGCGCCUGUAGGGUCGUGUGGCAGCUAGUAUUGCUUAUUGCAUUUUAGUAUACUUGGGUGCCGUGAUAGAGCAUACUAGACAUGUUUUGGCAUAUUGGAUCAUGAUAGAGUAGAUGUACUCCUUGUUCAUAUCAUGUAUAUUUGUGCAUAGUAGUAUAGCAUUCAUGAUAUGCUUUCUUUUCCGCAGUUAUUAUUAUCCAUAUCUGCUUAUGUUUUGGGCCUAGUGGUGCAUUUUGCUCAUGUCAGUAAUUACCCACUGGGAACUAUAAAUUAUAGUUCUCACGCCCCCUGUUUUAUGAUUUCUUUCAGAGCCUUCCACUCCGGGAGAGGCUCGGGAUCGCGGGAAAGGUAUCGCCUCGAGUUAGCUUGCGAGGGGUUCGGUGGUAGGUGGUCUACCUCUCUUUUGAGUUUUAUUUUGGAGAGGUUGAGAGAGACUUGUACCAUUUUAUAGAGACCACCCCAUACUUGUAUCUUGAGAUUUAUGUUGUAUUAAGUUUACUUCUUACUUUAGUGGUUCUGUUUCUGUUCGCUCUAUUUGUUCGUAGAACCUAGCUGUAUACUGCUCUGAUAUCUCUCCUUACUUUCGGUUUCUUGUUCAUUUAUUCGCUAUUGUUGUAAACACCUUAUAUGUGCAGGCAUAUGGCGGGUCUGGGCACGCACCGGGUGGGCUUAUGCCGGGUCCCGGGGCGUGACAUUAGAAAUUGGGGAUUUUGGAGUUUAAAGGUUUUGAUCUAAAUUAACCCUUUGGUUCUCUAAUUGAAGAUUAGAGAAGAGCCCCAAACAACUGCAAAUUGGAAAUCGACAAGUGUUUGGUGAUCAAUUCGAGUAGCAAGCCGAACCAGGCAACGUUUCCCGUGAGGGUCCGAUUGCAAGUGUCUAUAAGCAAUCGGAAGCAUUGUUAGGUGGGUUCUGCUUCACCGAAGUGACUAGGUCACUUCCAUGCCGAAGAGUGAAGUAUGGUUUUAUUAUUGAUGCAUGCAUGUAUAUGGUGGUAGGUUAUAUGUGAUUUAAAUGAUUUUUAUAUCAUGUGCUACUAGAUGGAAAUUACCUACCGUUGGAUGAUGAUAACAUAGUGUCACGCCCGGGUACCAGCGGAAGCAUAUCCGGUCGCGUGCACAGACCCGCCGUGUACACCACAACUCAAGUAUACACAAGGCGUCUACAAACCAUAUGGUCGGUUCAGGAGAGAUAGGCUAUGCACAAAAGUUACGAUAGACACGAUAAGAUAUUUCUGAUGGUGAAAUCUUUAGAUGCUUCGUUCUUUACCUGCGGCAAAACGAACGCCUUAUAGGCCGAAUCAAUUAACCAAUUUUGGCCCAUAAAACUUACUUUGACUUUCGUAACGUUAACCGAACGCAGACCAACAAUACCCACGCGUCGGUAAAUACAUCCCCUCCCCAUAGAAGUUUCUUAGAGGUCAGAGGAUUGCAAUUCUUAGAAAUCAAACUACAUGAGAAAAGCCCCAUGCAAUUGGGCUGAAUUCCUCCAAUGGUAUGCCAACACAUGAUCAAAGCCUAGGUUGAUCUCAAGAGGAAAGGCAAAAGGUAGCCUCAUUACACUUCUUAAAUAGUCCAUUAAACCAUUCUUAGCCUUUCAAAAGUUCACACAUCAGUUGCGAAUAAUUGCAAUCACUCAUUAGUAGGUGGUCCACAAGCUCACCUAAUAUAGCAAAACUAGUUUGUGAGAAUCUCCUAAAGAAGCAAAAAGAUUAUUAACCUUCAUAUAACUACGUAGACAUUGCAUUAAAACCAUUUCUAGGUUACAUGCAAACUCCAAUUUCUACGAAGAGCGAGUUUUAACAUUAGGGUCAAAGCUUACCUCAAGCUUCCUCUCUUCUUCAAGCUAGAGAUGAAGGAGAAGGAGUUUCUUAUCACUCGUCUGUCGGUCAAAUAUCUUUUUUAAUCCCCCUACUUUCUUCUGGACUUCUUUGUUCGUCCUUUUAUGGCUUCUUCCUUUCUUCUUCUUCUGCUUUAUCACUCCUAUGAGAAGAGAAAGAGUGGAGAGAUGAAGAGCAGUUGUCGAGUGCGUAAGGAGCGCGAAAAGAAAAAUCGAGAGCAAAAAUCUCAUUUGCCACUCAUACUCUAGCCUAUUGGGUUGCAAGAAUUGCAGACUUGAAACCCCCUCAACUUUCACUUAAUCCCUAAAAAACAACAUGUAGGCUCAAAUAGGUCCUAAAAUAAUUUGCACGAUGGUUCCCCAGAUACUGGCUGAUGCGCGCAAGCAAAGCCGGUCUCCCCGAGCACGCCGGUUCCCGAACGUUGUCCAGGCCAGCCAGAGCUGCUACAAAGGGCACGACGCCCAGAUUAGCAAACUCAACCGUCUUCCUUAUGGGAUACCUUUGGCCCUAGUUGAUGUCUCAUGGGGACGGUCUCUUCAAAGGGCAGAGAGUUCCGCGAUAUAAUCUUAGAGAGCGGAUCGCUUACAUCUCUUCCAAGACUUAGACCGAAUUCUUUCUAGUCUGUCUCAUAUCAAUGCACAACAUAUUCGGGCACCCAAGGAAUCUCAUCCCACACCAAAGGACCGACCGGACGCACCCGGGAGCUCAAAGCUCAGUUUGCAGAAUUUGAUUCUUUAGCUCUCGAAAACCUUCCGUAACUCACUUUUGAUCAUUUUAACCCUUCGACUCUCCGAAGUGUACCAUCCUCGCACCUUGGUCAAUUUGACUAAAGUUCGAUAUUAUUUCGAAUUUUCGGUAUAUUACAGUUUACUUUACACUGCUUAUUGCACUUACUUGCUUAUUGCAAUUUACUUGCUCACUUAUUACUAUCUACUCAAUGCCAUAGUUAUCUAGUGGUGUACUUCCGCACUCUCGGGCGCUUACCCACUGGGAACUAUUGUUUAAUAUUUCUCACCGCCCUCUUUGUUGUUGUUUUACAGAGCCUUCCACAGGGAAAGGCUAGGGUUCCUGGCGAGGGUCAGCGACUAGCUAGAGCCUUUUUGGACGUGUACUAGAUCACUCCAGCAGUUUAUAUAGUUUAGUACAGAGAUGUAAUUAAGUUUUUGUAAAUUGUACUUUAUUCUAUUUUCUGUUUUAAGGUUUGGAUGUAUAAGUUUAAACUUAUAAGUCUUGCUCUGAUUACUAUAUUUAGAUUAUAUGCUUUGACCAAAUAACNNNNNNNNNNNNNNNNNNNNNNNNNNNNNNNNNNNNNNNNNNNNNNNNNNNNNNNNNNNNNNNNNNNNNNNNNNNNNNNNNNNNNNNNNNNNNNNNNNNNACAAAAGAAGCCCUAAGGGGCGUGGGUGCUGUUAUAGAUAGGCUACAAUCGCGAAAAACCCCCUGCAGUUCAAACUGCACGAAAUCUGCCUCCUUGUACCGGUACACGGGCUCUUGUACCGGUACAAGGCCCACGAAAAUGCAAACCCGAGGCUCGGGUCGCGGGGUCUGCGGCUUUGUACUGGUACAAGCCCGAUGGCUGUACCGGUACAACUAUCAAUCUUGUACCGGUACAAGACCAGUCUUGUUCCGAUACAAGCUCUGCUGCAGGCUGCUCGAGAACUGUCCAAAAAUUCCGGUUUUGGGAUUUUGGUGCCAAGUCUCACUCCAACAUCCUCGGGAUGCGUGCCAGGGGUCGGAACACUAUCAACGACCCUCCAAAAACUGUGGGAAGGCUCCACACACAGAUCAAACACUCGAAUCUUGCGAUUUGCAAGAUCCAGUGCAUUACAGAAGUGUCGCUCGCCGAUUCAUUUGAGCGAUGUCGGCGAGAGAGUUGCUCUUGACCCCGAGGUGGUUUGGGAGGCCCAGGAGAAGUUCGUCUUGCCUGACAACGACUUGCGACUGCGUAAUCUCAGCACAAGAGUUAUGCCGACAAGCGAAGAAAGGAUAUAGAGCUCGCGGAUGGAGACCGCGUAUUUCUAAAGGUAUCGCCGAUACGGGGAGUUAAACGGUUCGGUGUCCGGGGGAAGCUAAGUCCCCGAUAUGUCGCACCAUUUGAGGUUUUGGAACGAGUCGGCGCUGUGGCUUACAAAGUAGUAUUACCACCGAGACUUGCGAGAGUGCACGAUGAAUUUCAUGUAUCCAAUCUCCCCAAGUAUGUUCAUGAUCCGGAGCAUAUUCUCUCGUAUGUGCCGAUGGAGUUUCAAGAGGAUAUGACUUACGAGGAGUUCCCGGCAUUUAUCGUCGAUUUAGAAGUGAGAAAACUACAGAACCGUGAAAUUCCGUAUGUUAAAAUCCAUUGGAGCAACCACGAUGAUCGGGAAGAUACUUGGGAGCUUGAGGACGUGAUAAAAGAGCGUCAUCCUCAUCUCUUUGAAGAAUUGAAUUGAGGUACGGAUCUAGAUUUCAAUUAAGUAGUUUCGCGAACGAAACUAAUUUUAAGGGGUGGAGAAUGUAACAUAUUGAAACCCUGAGAGCGAUUAUCGAACUUUACCCAAAUUGGUUAAAGUUGUCGAGAGAAAUAGUUGGACAAGUUUCAUUUAGCAUUCCAACAAGAUUGGAAGGGCUAAAAAUGAGUUUAAAGGAGUAAGAAGGGUUUUGGCAUUGCUCGGCACGAAGAGAAGUCGAACAAGAGUUAAAACUGCAUUCUGGGCAAUGUGUACCGGUACAACAUUGAUGUUGUACCGGUACAACAGUGCUGCCUGAGAGGAAAUUGCUCUCAGGUUUGAGAAAAUCGGAAAGUGUACCAGUACAAAAUAUUUUGUACCGGUACAGAUGCUACGAACCCGAGAGGGCUGCUCUCGGGUUUGCCUCGGCGCAAUCGUGUAACCGGUGACAGAUGAAAGUGUACCGGUACACUUUGGUCUGGCAGCAACAAUAAGGUUUGUUGCAAAUAAAAGUUAUUGGGGGGCUUAGUUGCUAUUGUUGCAACCUGUAAAACACCCCAACACUCUCCUCUCUUCACAGCAGCUGUGAACCCUUUCUCCCUCUCAUUUCUCUCUUUCUCUCUAAAGAUCUUGCCCUAGAGCAAGGAGGAGAAGGCUUGGAAGGCAUUGAAGGAGAUUUUUGGAGGAUUUGUGGACCUAAGAGCUCUCCAACAAGGUGGACUUGGGUGAGCUUGUGGCUAAGGUGAGUUUUGUGCAAGAAUGGUUCUAGGGUUAGGAUUUAUACCCUAAGUCUUUGAGUUUUUGUCUUUUUGCAAAGCUAGAAACUCUCUUGAGGCCUUGAACCCAUGAAAAAUCCAUGGUUUCUCAAGGUGCUCUCAUGGUGGUCAUCUACGGUUCAUAGUAGAUGCCCUAGGAAUGGUUCAAAUGGCUUAGGAAUGGUAUUAGAGAGCUUCGUAGAUGAUUCUAAGCUAAUAUUUGUUUAGAUAUAAGAUCAAUCUAGGAGAAAUAUAAAUAUGGCAUUGUUAGGGCAUGGAAUUUGGGGCUUUUGCCUCCGAUCGUUUUCGAGGUAAACCUAAUUAAGAGUAUUUCCGACGCGUUGGUGCGCUCGGUUCGGCCAAAUGAAAAGACUAUGUAACGGUUCUUAGUAAAAAGCCUAAUUUGGCUCAAAUUUGGUACUGAUCGUCAUAGUAUGCGGGAUAGGCUUCUAAAAAUCCCGAGAAUCGAACCACAACUCCUCUACUACUAUUCGAGGUGGGGGGUGCACUCCGGAAUCGUUGGAUUCCUUUCUAUGUCUAUUUCACCUUUUUGUUGAGCAUUAUGUCAAUAGUCAUUCAUGCAUGGUAGGGUAGUUUACAUGUGAAAAUUGGUUGAAUUUCAUUUAUAUGCUUCUAACGUAGAUGAACAUAGAGAAUGAUAAGAACCAUAGUGGAUAUGUAUGUGGGAACCCUAAACUUGUAUGAAUGUGAGACCCGGACUAAGAUAAUAGUAACAAAGGUGACAUUGACAAUAGAAACAAGAUUGGCAUCGAGAUACACAUUGUUAAACCUAGUUUAAACAAUAGUGACAUUAUAGCAAGAGGAGCCUAGAGAGUGGCAAGUAUGAUAAGGUAGAGACCUAUUAUUGUUAAAGUGGCAUUGGGGCUAGUGGCUAUAUGUCUUCAAGUUGAGGAUUGGAUCGAUACUCACGAUAAGUCUUGGCUUGAGGGAGGUAGCUCCCCCUCAAGCAGCGCGUUUCGGAAUAGUCACCACGGGGAGCGAGGUCCCCGAAGACGGUCUCUAGGGAGGUUCGAGUCCCCCGUUAUUAAGGGAUUUUAGAUUGUGAGUUAUUAGGGUUAACAAGGUUAACCGGUGAGAUUGGGUAAAAGCCAAAGUAAAGUUAUGAAACAAGCAUGCAUGCAUAAUUAUUCCCAUUUGAUUAUAUAUCUACUGACGGUUUUCUUGCAGGCAUAGUAUUAGCAUUAGCAUUGGUUACUGUUUUCUUUCUUUGAAAUACUUAUGCCUAAAUAGACCUAGUGGGUAAGUCGGCUAGGUCUGUUGCCGAACCCACUGGGAACUUCGUUGUAGUUCUCACACCACUAACCCUACAGAUCCGAGCGCGAGCGGGCCGGCGGAAGAUCGAGGCAAGGGUAUUGCGCCAUAACUAGUGGCCACCGGAGUAUAUGCAUUUAGUCAUUCCCUUUUUAGUUCAUGUAUCAACUUUCAUUUUGUUGAUCUAGAGAUGUAAAAGUUGUAAACAUUCACGUAUUUUGGGAGAAUGAUUAUGAUGUAACAAGAAUUGUGAAUGAAAUGAAAUGGAUGUAUUAGUUUUAGUUACUAGUAUUUGGUUUAAAUGUAAUCAAAUAUUAUGUAUGGUUGUAUGUUGUAGCUUAGAGCUUUCGCUUCCGUUGUUGCUUGCCCUCGUGCAAGCCUUAUAUAAUUGCAAAUCUCCAUGUUGAUUGCUUAAUUAUACUUGUUGUUAGAGCCUUGGGCGAGCAGGGGAGGCCCUGUCCGUUCGGCAUCUGUUGACGUGACCCGAAUCCGACCAAAUUGGCGAGGAGCGGGGCGUGACAAAAGUGCCAUAAAGGGGCACUCAACCUAGUAAACGGUUAAACGGCAACAUGUUGACAUAGAAUGGAUCACUAGUUUCUCUUCCAUAUUUUAGACAUGAUGACAUAGUGAUAGGCCAUUGAGACAUUGACUAUAUUCUAUAUUUUAGACAUGAUGACUUUGGACUUGAGACGGACUUUUCGCUUGCUUGCUAUUGUGCUUAUUCGCACAUACUUGUGAGGGUCGCUCCCCACAAGCCGGCACUCCGGAGAUAGCCAUCGCGACACAUGCUAACCCGUGCAGGAUUGGGCACCGAAAUGGGAUGCCGUAAAGGAGGCUCAUUCCUAGAGUGGGGAUGUUGACUACCACGGGGCCAUUAGGCACGGCGCAAGUCGGACUACCCACGGGUAGGUCCUAUGUGACUUGGAACAAGUGGAACCAAAAUGUAAAUGGACAACUAGACAAGCUAGUAAACAAUGACAUUUUACUAUUCACAUUGUGGACAUCAUGUUGUUUAUACUCAUGCAUAUUCAUAUUAGAAUAGCAUUCAUACUUAUGCAAAAUUAUGCUAAGUGGGGACAUAAUGGUUUAGCAAGUUAUUCAUGUUUAAAUACUUAUUGUUCAUUUCGCUUAUAUACUUGUACUUACUUCCUUUAGCCUUUGGGCAUAGUGGUGCAUUUCACUGGAGUCAGUAAUUGCCCACUGAGAACUAUUAUUUAGUAGUUCUCACGCCGCAAUUUUAUGAUUUUCUUUCAGAGCCCUCUACACCGGUGGAGGCACGGGAUCGCGGCAAGGGGAUCGCUAGCUAGAUAGCGAGGAGUUUACUUUUUGCUUUAGGUGGUUCUCUCUCUUUUGUGUUUUAUUAGAGAGGGUGAGAGAGCUUGUAUCUAUGCAUAGAGACCACCAUGUUCUUAUGUUUAGCACUUGUAUUUGGACGCCUUUUGUACUACUUCAUGGUUUACUCUUAGUGGGUUUUAGCUCUUUUAUAUGCCUCUAUAUCAUAGAAUCUAGAUGUUGUAUGCUCUGAUAUCUCUAGAUCUUUAUAUAUUAUUGCUUUAUUUAUCGUUUUGUUGUAGACGCCUUAUAUGUUGCAGACGUAUGGCGGGUCUGGACACGCACCGGGCGGGCUUCCGCUGGGUCCCGGGGCGUGACAUUAAUAGUUCUUACCCCCAUUUGUUGUUGGUUUUUAUUUCAGAGCCUUCCGCGGCGGGAGAGGCUAGGGAUCAUGGCAAUGGGUUAGCGACUAGCUAGAGACCCUACGGAGUUAUUUAGAUGGACCCGACGUUAUCUUUCUUUUUGUAUUUGUGGAAAGAUGUAUUAUGUACUUGUUUAGAGUUGUAUUAGACUUUUGGAUUUAGAUGUAUACAUUUUGUAUAUCUUGUGGAUGUCUUGUGAUAGAACAUUAGUCAUUUUAUGUUACUCGCUCUGAUAACCUUGUUAAGAUGUUACUCUCGUUCAUUCUUGUUUAGUAGACAUCUUGUGUGCAUCGUGGUUGUUUGGUGUACACGGCAGAUCUGUGCACGCGUCAGGUGGGCUUCCGCUUGGCCGGAGCGUGACAACGUGGGAGUUGGAGAGCGCACUAUAGGAGCGCUAUCUCCAUCUUUUUCAGAUGGAAUCUUGAGAUAUUUGAUUUCUAGUUUCGCGGACGAAACUCUUUUUUAGUAGGGGAGAAUGUAGGACAUUGAACUUUAGCAAACUGUAAGGUUCUAGUGUUCGAAUAGUAUUUCGUACUAUUCUUAGUGUGUUUGAGGGUGGUAGACUGUGUUCCGACCUAUUCACUUGCGUCGUGAGAAGCGAGAGUGGGUACUUAGCACCAAAAUCUACAAACUGCAAGUUUUGGUGUGCUGGGUACUAGACCUCAGUAGGGUACCGAAACCCCAACGCGUGACCGAGAGGGAUGCUUUCGGGUUUGAGCUCUGGGAGGUUAAGUACCGAUACGAACUUGGCCGAGUACCGGUACUGGAGCUUGGUACCGGUACUGCAUCGAGCGGGUAUCGGUACACCGCAAGAUGCCCGCUUGACAGAAGCUCGGGUUUGCGCAUUCGGUUGCCGGGUACCGGUACUCUUGCCCGCAUACCGGUACGCAAUGCAGUUUACAGACUGGAUAUUUUUGAGGGGUCUUUUUGGGAUUGUUACAUCUCUAUAAAUAUCCCAACACCCCUAUGAGGGUUCCCUGUGCUAGGAACCAGAGGAGGAAGGUGGUGAGCUCCCUCCUCUUCUUUUCUUUGAUUUUUCCUCUCGUUUGCUAGAGUUUUAGUGGAUUGAUCUCUCUUUUCCUCUCCUCUUCGCAUGGUUAUGAUCCUUGUCCAUGGAGAAGCCUUGAAGCUGGAAAUUUGAGCCUUGUUGAUGGAUUAUCUCCAACCCUAAAUUCAUUCUAGCUUGGAUUGGAGCUCUAUAAGAGGUUAGUGACAUCUUUAUUCCUUCGAUUGAGCUUUGGAGAGGAUUUUUUGGGAUGUAAACCUAGUUUUGGAAACUAGGGUUUUAUUUUGGGUUUUCUCUUGGUAGAGGCUUUGGGGCUAAAUUGAUGAUUCCAAUACUUCUAUUUAGGUUGGAAUUGAAGCAUCCUAGCCUUCAUUGAGAUUUUGAGAGAGUUUUCCACCAUUUAAGGUAUUUUUCAUCUAUUUAUGGCUUGAUUUUUGAGGAAUUUUAUGGGGUGUUCGUUCGAAGUCCCUAACUCUCUUGAAAUUUUUGUUAGGAAGCUAGAAGGCUAGUGGGCAACCUCAUUCGCGCAAACGAAGGGGUUUCGAGGGGUAUCCGGUGGGUUUGACCUCACCGAAAUUGGUGAACUCCUCCUAUGUCAUUUCUUGUGAUUUAAAAUAAAAAUUCAUGCAUACUCAUGCUAGAUAAAGCAUAAAUGAAUUUUUGAAUGCUUAAAAUAUAUGUGUCGCAUAUCAUGAUUAUAGCCUCUAUGUAGUAGAGAGAGAAUUGUAUAGUAAGCUUGUAUAUGUAAUGGCACCUUUCCUACCAUGUUAGAAAUCAUGUUAUAAUUAGUGAGAUGACAAGUUUUACAUGCUCAUGGACAAUGGACUUAUGUUUGACAGAGUAAACAUAAAUGUCAUAUAGUAACACUUGACUUAGUAAAUGAAUGAACCGUACUUUAUGACAUAGAUAUCGAUCGUUGGGUCAUUAGUACUUGUAUCAUAUUUUAGACAUGAUCACCGAGGACUUGAUAUGGAUGAUUAUGCUUGCUUGCCCUUCUGCUCAUUCGUACAUGCUUGUGAGGGUCGCUUCCUACAAACAGACACUCCGGAGUUAGCCUACGCGACACAUGCUCGCCCGUGCGGGAGGCUCAUUCCUAGAGCGGAAAUGUUGACUACCACAGGACCAUUAGGCACGGCGCAAGCUGGACUACACUUGCGUAGGUCCCAGUUGGAAUUAAACAAUGACAUUAAAUGUAUAAUAUGACUGACACUACUAGAUAGUGCAUAUAGUUGAAUUAUUGAACAUAUUCAUGAUAGAUUAGCCAUAAUAAUUGUUAAACAUCAUGCUAAGUAGAGGCAUAGUAGUGUAGUAAACUUAUUACUUGCUAAAUAUUUAUGUCGUUUAUUCAGUUACAUCUUUAUACUACUCAUGCCUCCAUGACCUAGUUGUGUAUUUCGCUGAUGUCGGCGGCUUACCCACUGGGAACUAUUGACUAAUAGUUCUCAUUCCCAUAUUGUUGAUGUUUUUGUUUACAGAGCCAUCCACGCCGGGAGAGGCUAGGGACCGUGGCAAGAGGGUCACAUCUAGCUAGUCUUAGCUUGGAGUAUCCACUAGGCGGUCAUCUCUCCUUUUGUUCUUGUGGAGAGGGAUGUGUUGUACCCGUAUAUAGAGACCACCAUUUUUAUAUCUAAUUGUACGUAUCUCAUGUGGUUUUUCCAUGAUGUAUGUACUACUUGAUGAUUUAUAUUAGUUGUUCAGUUCUUUUACCUUCUUACUUGUCUUUAGAUAUUAGUUGUAUUCAUACUCUGUAUCACACUAGAUGUUGUUAUAUUCUCGUUUUAUUUAACAUUUUGUUGUAGACGCCUUAUAUGUUGUAAGCAUAUGGCGGGUCUGAACACGCACCGGGAAGUCUUCCAUUGGGUCCCGGGCGUGACAUCAAGGAUUGAGGAAAUCGGCUCAUAGCAAUAGUAUUAUUCUUUCCAACUUAGUAUUAUGCUUUAUUAUUUGCUCAGCUUAUUUGCUGUUAUUGCCUCUAGUAAACCCAGUGGAUAGGUCGUCGUCAUCAACGACUUUACGCACUGGAGACUAUUGUUCAGUAGUUCUCACGCCCUUUUGUGGUUUACUUUUUAGAGCUGUCAGCACCAACAUCUGACCGAGAUAAGGGGAUCACGCAGAAGGUAGCAACUCCUCCCCAAGUUCUUGAGAGAUAGAGGAGGACCCCGACUAGUUGAGUAUAGCAGUUUUUACAUUUGGUUUUAUGUGGUAGAUGUAUGGAUGUAUGAGUUUCGUCGAUGUAUGUACUUACUGCUCAUCGAUUUACUUGUUUAUCUAUUGCUCUGAUACAUGUUUAGGUAUGGACUCUUACGAAUUACUAGUAUAUGGUGCACCACCUUCACCGAAUACUGCAUGCAUCUAGCAAUAAGAAAUUUCGACAUCUAGCAUGUUGUACCGGUUGUAAAAGCUUUUUUUUUUCUUUUCCUUGCACCAUACAUUGUAGUUUUAAAUCUCAAAUGUAGAGGGCCUAAAAUUUAGAAUUUAAGUUUUUAAAUAUAUUUUAUGAUAUUCAAAAGUCUAUAAGUUAAAAAUCAUAUAUUUUAAACUUAUCUAAUAAAUUAGAAAUUAUAAUUUUUAGUUUAUAGAAGGGUAAGUCUACAGUCCAGGUCUGUCCAAUAAUUUUAGAACACCUCAGAUUACUCAAUGGUCUAUGGUGCUCCGAAUGCACUUCAUGGCAUCUUGCACUACAACAAAUUGCUUUUUAAGGACACUUUAAAUAAUAAUUAGCGAUACUUUAAAGCAUCGGCAAGAAUAACCCUGAUGCUUGUAAAAGUGUUGAGUAAAGAGUCAUUAAGUAAACAUGUCGGGAUAAAUAUAUCGACACUUUAAUAUAGUGUCAAAAUAUAUUUAUCAGUAUUUGAUAAAAAAUAUAUUUAUUGGUGACACUUAAUCAUAGUAUUGGCACAUACCAAACAAUGAAGACGCUAUAAUAGAGCGUCGUCUAAAAAGCGUCAUCAAAAAUAUAUUUUUGUUGUAGUGUUGGAUAAUAAUUGUUAAGUUCUGCACACUAUACAUCAUAAUAAUAAUAAUUAAUUAUAGAAUAUUCUAAAAUUAAGAUUUAAUUUAUUGAGUAUAUUUUAUGAUAUUCAAAAUAUCUAUAUAUAAAAUUUAUAAAAUUUAAACAUAUUUAUUGAAUUAAGAUUGUAUUAUUUUUACCGAGUCCACGGUGCACUAGGUGCAUUGAAUAUGUUUGAGAAUAUAAGUCCACAAGAAAAGGCCCCUCCAUGCAUGCACUUCAGUAUAGAGAUAAGUUAGCAAAUAGGAGCGCUCGAUCAUCCAAUGAACUCAUAUAGUAAAUAAAUUAUUAAAGAUAUAUAAGGUAGGUUAUAUAGUGUAGUAUAGUUAUAUAUAGUUGAGCUAGAAUACUCUCGGAUAGUAAACGGAACAUGUUACUUACGUAUUGUUGUUUUCGAUGAUAGAGCUUCAAAUUGACGAUCGGCCCGUAAAUAUGAUCUAAACCAUUUAAAACUAUCUAGAAAUUCAAAAUUUCAUCACUUUCGAUAUUGUUCUUUUUCAUCUGGUGAACAGAAAAUGAAGAUGGGUUGAAAGAUGAAUAUUCUUUAAAAAAUGAUGAUAGGAGUGCUGUAAUCAAGAUCAAGAGUAUAGAUCUGUUUUAAAUAGGGUUUAAAAAAUUUUCAACAAAAAAUCAAUUGAUUUGGAUUAUCUUUUACACCGUUUCAACGAGAAAUGUCUCUUAUCCACCAUAAAAUUACAAAUUUUGAAACACUUGAUCAUGUAGGCAAUGGAUUGUCGAAAGAUUUGAAAUUUGAUUUCUAAACCACUUUAAGUGGUAUAGAUCAUAUUCAACGGAGCUGAUCGUCAAUUUGGCAAGCUCUAUCAUCGAACAACAACGGUCGAUAGUAAAAUGCCCCGUUAUACUAUCGAGAGUAUUCUAACUCAACUAUAUAUAGUUAUAUAUAGUAUAUAUAUAUAUUAUAUAUAUACUAUAAUAGUAUAUAUUAUUAGAGGUUGAGCUAGAAUACUAUCGAUAGCCAACUGGGCUCAGUUGGCCACCCAUUUAUUUUCGGAUGAUGGGAGCGUCCAAAUCGACGCAUCGGCACCGUUGAACCCCCCCCCCCCCCCCCUUGAUCUAUACCACUUGAAAGUGUUUAGAAAUUAAAUUUCAUAUAUUUUUGAUAUUGUUAUCUUAUUCCAUCGAGGGUGACACAAAACUGAACGCGCUAAAAUGAAUAUUUUUUAAAAAUGAUGAUAGGAGUCUUCUACCAUCAAAGAUCCAAAAGUAUUACAUCUUAUUUUUUAAAAUAGUUUAAAGAAUUUUCUAAUAAAAAAUUAAAUUGAUUUGAGAUAUCUUACACCGUUAAACGGAGAAAACGCCUGGGGUGAAAACGGCCUCAUAUCAACCAUUAAAAUUACAAAUUUUGAAACCUUUGAUCAUUAGGCAAGAAUGCAUAAUCGAAAAAGGAUUUGCAAAUUUGAUUCUAAAUACUUCAAGUGUAUAGAUCAUGGUUCAACGAGCCCGGAUCGUCGGAUUUGGAAUGCCCUAUUCAUCGAAAUUUAUAUUAUAUAUAUAUAUAUAUAUAUAUAUAAUAUAUAUUAUAUAGAACUAGGCUAAAAAACUAUGACUCAUUCGGGUCGCACGGACGCUCGGCGUUGCUACCAAGUUGUUUUCGAUGAUGCGGCUUUCCAAAUCGACGAUCGGCUCCGUUAGACUUGAUCACACUAUUGAAAUAUUUAGAAACUAAAUUUUUAUAUUUGUCGAUAUCAUUUCCUAUCAAACAAGUAGGUCUAAAAUUGAAACGGCUGAAAAAUAAAAUCUUAAAUGAAAAAAUGAUGAUAAAGAUUAAAUCUCAAGCAUUCAUUAGUAUACUUGAUCUUACUCUAAAUAGUGAGGGAAAGAAUAUUUCUAUAAAAAUUUUCAUCGCAUUUGGGAUUGUUUUACACCGUUAAAUCACAAACACACCACAUCGGCCAUUAAAUUGUGCCAAUUUGAGAUCUUUCGAGCUCACUAGUCCAAAUGAUGUCGAAAACAAAAAUUUGAAAUUUAGUUUCCAAGAUACUUUCAAUAGGGUAGAUCAAGUCUAACGGAGCCGAUCGUCGAUUUGGAAGCCGCAUCAUCGAAAACAACUUGGUAGCACGGAGCACUCCGUGCUACCGAUAGCAUAGUAGCCGGACUCUAUAUAUAUAUAUAUAUAUAUAUAUAUUGGGUUAAUUACACCUGUAGUCCCCAACCUUUGCACCAAUUUUCACUUGGAUCCCCAACCUUUUUUUUUUGCAAUUGAGUCCAUAAUCUCUUGAUUUUAUUACAAUUACGUCCCAACCGUUAAAAAAGUUGUUAAAAUUAACGGAAUCACCACGUCAGCACUUAUUUGGCAUCCUUUUGCAUGUUAAUUUAGGGCCCUAAACUUUGCACGUUUUUCACUUUAGUCCCUAAAAAUAAAAAUUCAAAAUUUUAAAUUUAAAUUCCAAAAUAAUAUUAAAAUUAAUAUUUUAAACUAACAAGAAAUUAGAAAUUUGAAUUUGAAUUUAAAGCUGGAUUAAAAUUUUGAAUUGAAAUUCAAAUUUUAAAUUUAAUUUUUUAAUUGAAUCUAAAUUUUGAAUUCAAACUUAAAAUUUUGAUUUUAAUUUUGAUAUUUUAAUUUACAUUUAAAAAGAAAGUUUUCAAACCAAAAUUUAAAUUUAAAAUUUGAAUUUAAAUUUAAAAUCAUAUUCAAAAUUUUGAUUUUAAAUUUUAAAUUUGAAUUCAAAAUUUAAAUUUAAANNNNNNNNNNNNNNNNNNNNNNNNNCACUUGCAAUCGGCCUCCCGCGGCAACCGUUGCCCGGUUUGGCCCGAACUCUUGCGCGACUUCCAAACGGCCUCCAAACCGCGAUCCGUCUUUUUCGGAGUUUAUUCCUUGACUCCAAGGUGCUCCGGUUCCGAUCUCAUAAUUUUUAGACCUUUAUUCCGCGUGCUGCGGCUAUCUGUACCAAAACCGACCGUUUCAUCAAUAACUUCCCGUACGCUCGUCGGAUUACCGAACCGAGCAUUUCAACGCGUUCGUUAGGUCCCCAAUUAGGUUUCUACAAGGCCAAUUUGCCUUAGAAACACCCGGAGGCAAAAGCCCCAAUUUCGGUGCCCUAACAAUGCCAUAAUCAAAUUUCUUGGGAUUGAUCUCAUAGCUAAGCAUAAUUAGGCUUAGAACCACUCAAGAAGCUCUCUAAUCCCAUUUCCAAACCAUUUGAACCAUUUCUAGGGCAUUUGGAACAAACCCUAAAAAUCCACCAUUAGGGCACUACGAAGAAACCAUGGAUUUCAUGUGUUCUUCGGCUACUAUGAAGCUCUAAAGCUUGUAAGGAGAUCAAAACCAAAGAUCUAGGGUUUAAAACUCAAACCCUAACCCUAAACUCACAAGAAAUCACUAAGGAGUUCAAGACUUACCUCUCUAAGCUUGCUCUCUUGCAUAAGGAGAAGAUAGAGAGGAGGAGGAAGACCUUCUUCUCCUUCUUCUUCCCUUUCUUUUCCUCUCUUUUUUUCUUUCCUUUCUUCUCUUCUUCUCUUUUCUUCUCUCUUUGCUGCCCACGGUUGAGAGGGAGAGAGAGACACGAGAGAGGGAGAGAGAGAGAGCUGGGGUUAUAACAUAUUAUAACAAUUGCCAAAAGACCCCCCAAACAUUCAUAUUUGCAACAGAUCAAUUCUGUGCUGUUCGGGCUCCUUGUACCGGUACACGGUUUCUUGUACCGGUACAAGGCCUGGCAGACAGCCCAACCCGAGGGCUGGUUCUCUCGGUUACGCAGGGCUUGUACCGGUACAAGGCCCCUUGUACCGGUACAAGGCCCCUUGUACCGGUACAAGGCCCCUUGUACCGGUACAAGGCCCCUUGUACCGGUACAAGGCCUGGCAGCUCUAAGCCGAGAGCUUAACGGGUUGUACCGGUACAACCAUUGGUCUUGUACCGGUACAAGGCAUCCAGAAUGUCAUUUUUGACUUUGAUUCCGCUCUACUUCGCGCCGUUCGAUGCAAAAACCACUCUAACUCCUCUAGAGCUUAUUUUUAACCUACCUUCCAACAGUGUUGGAACGUUAAUGGAUCGCGUCCAACCAAUCCCUUCGAGUACUUUAGUCAAUUUGGCUAAAGUCCACAAUAUUUCACCGAGAUCUCGGGGAGUUACACUAUGCGUUUGUAAAUUUAACGGUGUAAAACAAUCCAAAUCUGAUAAAUUUUUUAUAGAAAAUUCUUUUCACUAUUUAGAGUGAGAUCAGUACCUUUGAUCUUAAAUUCAAGUAUUUUAUCAUUAUUUUUUAUGAGAUUUUUAUUUUCAGCCGUUCAUUUUAGACUACUCGUUUGAUAGGCAAAUGAUGCCGAAAAAUUAUGAAAUUUAGUUUUCAAAUACUUUCAAUAGUGUAGAUCAAGUCUAAUGGAGCCGAUCGUCGAUUUAGAAGAAGCAUCAUUGAAAACAACUUGGUAGCACGGAAGUCUCUGUGCUACCGAUAGUAUACCAGCCUAACUCUAUAUAUUUAUAUAGGCUAGGGCUACUAUACUAUUAAUAGGAUAGUAGCACUUGUCCUAUCAAAUUGUUCUUGAUGAUAGAGAUUUCGAAUCGAUUAUCGGAGCUGUUGAAGUUGAUUUAGAGUAUUUGAAAUAUCUAGAAACUAAAUUUCAUAAAUUUUAAAAUUAUUUACAUGGUGAUCAAAUUCGUAAAAUCGACAAUUUUGACGGCCUAUAUGAGCCGUUUGCUUGUUUAACGGUGUAAAGUAAUCCAAAUUGCUUGAAUUUUUUAUAGAAAAUUCUUUAUACUAUUUAGAUAAUGUUUGAUAACUCUGAUUAUGAAUUGAGAAAGUCUAACCUCUAUUUUAAGAAGGUUAUUCAUUUAUGACAGUUUAUUUUUCAACUCUUAAGAUGAACUUGAUAAUGAUUUUUAAAUAUUACAAAAUUAGUUUCUAAACAUUUCUAAUUGUGUAGAUAAAUUUCAACGGUGCCGAUUAUCAAUUUGAAGUUCCGAUCAUUUAAAUCGACUUGAUUGGACAAUGCACUCAAUCUUAUUAAUAGGAUAGUAAAUGGACUCUAUAUAUAUAUAUAUAUAUAUAUAGAGAGAGAGAGAGAGAGAGAGAGAGAGAGAGAGUGUCCGGCUAUGGUGCUUGUAAAAGUAUCAAGUAUUUGGUACUUGUAAAUUUUUUACCGUUAGAUCUACGCAUUUGAUCAUUUUCACCCGUUAGAUUAUACUAUUCAACCAACCACCUACUCAACCNNNNNNNNNNNNNNNNNNNNNNNNNUAUAUAUAUAUAUAUAUAUAUAUAUAUAGUCUGGCUAUAGUGCUUGUAAGUUUUUUGCCGUUAAAUCUACCUCAUUGACCAUUUUCACCCAUUAAAUCAUACUAUUCAACGAACCACCUAUUCAACCAUAUAACCCUAGAAGAUUACUAUCAUCCUAACCGCACAUCUUUUAAUUUAAGGAUCGAAAACCUACAAGCACCAAUGACUUGAUACUUUUAAAAGCAUAGAAGCUAAAUUAUAAUAUAUAUAUAUAUAGAGCUAGGCUGGUAUACUAUCGGUAGCACGGAGGCCCCCGUGCUACCUAGUUGUUUUCAAUGAUGCGGGUUUCAAAUCGACGAUCGGCUCCGUUAGACUUGAUCUACACUAUUAAAAAUAUUUAGAAACUAAAUUUUAUAAUUUUUCAACAUCAUUUGGCCAGUGAUCAAAACAUCUCAAAAUUGACAAUUUUAAUGGUAGAUGUGAGCAUUUGUAAAUUUAACGGUAUAAAACAAUCCAAAUCAGAUGAAAUUUUUAUAGAAAAUUUUUUUUACUAUUUAGAGUAAGAUCUGUACCUCUGAUCUUAAAUUCAAGUCUUCUAUCAUCAAUUUUUAUGAAAUUUUUAUUUUCAGCCGUUCAUUUUUAGACUACUCGUUUGAUAGGUAAAUGAUAUCGAAAAAUUAUAAAAUUUAGUUUCCAAAUAUUUUUAAUAGUGUAGAUCAAGUCUAACGGAGCCGAUCGUCGAUUUGGAAGUCGCAUCAUUGAAAACAACUUGUUAGUACGGAGGCCUCCGUGCUACCGAUAGUAUACCAGCCUAGUUAUAUAUAUAUAUAUAUAUAUAUAUAUAUAUAUAUAAUAAUGUAUGUAUGGAUAUGUAGGGGCUAUACUCUUAUGAGCUAUAAGAGCUCGUUACUCUAGUUUAUUUCGAUGUAAAGCUUCUGAAUCUCAGUAUUGAAACUGUCCUGAAACAUAAAAUCCAUACAAGGCGGCAUAAAUAAACGGUCAAAAUGGAACGACGUCCUAAAAUUGAUGAUCGGUCCUUCGAUUUUUAAAUCUGGAUUGCGGGUGUUGAACUUUUUCUAGUAAUUGUUAUAUAGAAUUUUCUAUCAUUCUAAUUCCUUUACCACAAUUAAAUUAGCAAGUAUCUCAUACCGGAACCUUUAAAAAUUAUCAAUUUUGAGAUUCUCUCGUGAAUCUGUAAGGUAAAUAAUGUCAAAAAUUAUAAAAUUGAUUUUAAAAGUUUUAAUGCUUUAGAUAAUAUUUAACGGUAUAGUAUCGUCAAUCAGAAGACUCUACAAUAAAAAAUGAUUUAUUGAGUAUGAAGGCGAUAGUUACUCAUAAAGUAUUAGUAGGCCGAACUCCUCUUCUCUCCCUUCUUCGAUAUACUUAUAUAUAUAUAUAUAUAAUAUAUAUAUAUAUAAGUCGAGCUAGAAUACUCUCCAAAAGCCAAAUAAUGAGGUGAUGCUUUUGAGUUUUUACAUGGAUGGAGGAAAUUAAGGUUUGUGAUGAUCGGGUGGUGGUGGUGGUAGUGGUCGUAGUGGCAAUAGAGUAUUACCAAUGGCCUGAUUAGUAAUCUAAGAAGUAGAUCCAAGGUGUAAGAAACCUAAAAGCACCAUAGGAGUGAACUUUUAAAAGUAUUUAGCUCAAUUAUAUCAAUAUAUAUAUAUGUAGUAUUAAUAUAGUAUAUAUAAUAUAUAUACAUAUUUAGUAUAUAUAGAGUUGAGCUAGUAAUACUCCGAUAGUAACGGAAAGUGAUUUUACGUAUCGUGGAGUUCCGUUUUCGAUGGAUAGAGUUCCAAAAUUGGACGAUCGGCUCCGUCAUAAAUAUGAUCUAAACAUUUAAACUUACUUAGAAAUCAAAUUUCACGUCACUUUCGAUAUUGUUCCUUCUUAUCCAUCUAAGUGAACAGAAAAUGAAUGGUUGAAAAUCGAAUAUUCUUAUAAAAUGAUGAUUAGGAGUCUUUAAUAAGAUCAAGCAGUAAUAGAUCUUCGUUUUCAAUCUAGUUUAAAGAAAUUUUCUAACAAAACUUCAAUUUAUUUGGAUAUCUUUACACUUAAAACCGAGAAAACGUCUCUAUAUCCACCAUUAAAAUUACAAAUUUUGUAAACCAUUUGAUCAUUAGGCAAAUGAGUCAAAAAGAUUGUGAAAUUUGAUUUCUAAAACAUUUGAUGGUAUAGAUUCAUGUUCAACGGAGCGAUCGUCGUAAUUUGGAAGCUCUAGUCAUCGAAAACAACUCGAUUAGCUAAAAUGCCCCGUUUAUUCGAGAGUAUUCCUAGUCCAAACUCUAUAUUAUAUAUAUAUAUAUAUAUAUAUAUAUAUAUAUAUAUAUGCUACUAUACUAUUAAUAGUAUCAAGAGCUUGUUGCUAUUAGAUUUUUUACUAUUGGAUUAAGGGAUGUGCGGUUAGGAAGAUGGUGGUCCCCUAUAGUUGAGCGGGUGGUUAGUUGAAUAGUAUGAUUUAGCUGGUGGACAUGCAUGGUCGAGGAGGUAGAUCUAACCGCGAAAAACUUGGUAGCACCAAGCGUUUGGCGCCAUCGAUAGUAAAGUAGCCGUACUCUAUAUAUAUACAGAGUCCAGCUACUGUCAUCCUAAUCGGAAAUCACUAUCAUUCUAACUGGAUAUUUUUUCAUCCAAGAGCCGAAACCUAAUAGUACGAAGCGCUUGGUACUAUUAAUAGUAUAAUAGCCCAAUUCUAUAUAUAUAGAGAGAGAGAGUACGACUAUUAUAUUAUUGAUAGUGCCAAGCGUUUAGUGUUACCAAGUUUUCUGCUGUUAGAUCUAUCUAGUUGACCAUUUCUAUAUGUUAGAUCAUACUAUUCAACCAACCACCCACUCAACCCUAGGGGACCACUAUUAUCCUAAUCGCACAUCCCUUAAUCGAAGGGCUGAAAACCUAAUAGUACCACAAGGACUUGACUAACUACAGUGAUCAAACAUUACUCUUCUCUCACAGGAGAUCUAUAUAUCUUGGAGAUACGAGUAAGAUAGCAAGAAAUCCUUUUUCGCAAUCGAAAGUAGAAAAUUCAACUUAAUUUAUAUUUUCAUCGUAAAACUGACGAAUAUUUAUAGUCUCUUAAAAGACCUUUCAAUUUCUCUAUACAUUAACUCACUCAUUAAUUACUUUCGUAGAAAAACUAAAAGAUAUUUUUAGGGAUAUUAAAAGAGAUACAUUAUUCUAGACUAUUAUAAUUUUUAAAAGAAAAUAAAAAGGCAAUAAAAAAUCUAGAGGGCAUACUAAUAAUUAUGAAGCAAUUAAAUAUUUUAUUCAUCAAUUUCAGGAAGGGUGUCAAGAUGAAAAAUAGUCUUUGAUGUAGACUUUGAGCACUGAUUAUUGGGAAUACAACCACCAUAUAAUAAACCAUAGGAAUACGAGAGUCAAGAAAUCUAUAGUGGUGACUACGUACUCAUGUACUAUAUUAUAUAAUAAUAAGAUCAGUUAAUUGUCUCGCUACUAUUACACAGACCCAAAAGUAUUAAGAUCUUUAAUUAAAUAAUAUCAUUAUUUUAUAUAGAAUAACUAUGACAAACAAAAUUUUCUCGUAUAUAUAUACACGUACGUACAUGCAAAAUUCUCAGAUAUGGCCAUAAGUAGUUGUACCACGUACUGAGGAAUCUUUAGAAGGACACAGUCUAGCAAGCGUAUCUGCCACAAAUUAAGAGCGAUCGAUCGUAACCAAGUUACGGGGUGUGUGCAUUUUCACGAAUACGCUUGCUGUACAUUUUGACUGUGCGCGUGAUUGAAGUAUUGAACCACCCAUAUAUGCGUCUAACGAUAUUUUCGCACCGCGUAAAUAAAUGUAUCUCAUAUGUCAUCAAAGAGAUAUAUGCACCAGUCAAUGCAGAGUUUGCACCUCAACUAACUGCUGUGUACAUAUACAGUAGGUGGUACCCAUCACGCAUGAGGUGUACACAAGCAUCAACAUCCAAUUAAAUUGAAGGGCUUGAAUAUUACCACUUUUGGUACAUGCACGGGCCGUUUAAUUUGCACAGUGAACAAACAAAUAGGAGAGACAAAUUGAGGCGCAAAAUUUACGGGUGAAAAAACACACCAUUUGUCCUAGUUGUUAGUUGAGACGGCCUCUGCAGUAAAAUAAAAAAUAAAAAUAAAAAUAAAAAUUCAAAGCUAGGUAGAAUGCAACGAUUUAAUUUCAUAUAGCUUGAGAGUAAAAGCAUAUGAAUUUGUACCUCAAUUUUUAGGCUUCUAUUUUAUUUAACAUCUACUUUUCUUCUAUUCAAUUUUAGCUUACGUCAUGGUUUUAUCCAAAGUCUCGAGUCAAGAAAUGAACAUAAAUGUUGAAUAUGAACUAUUAGGACACCAUUUCUCACGUCUCGUAUUUUGAAUGCAUAAUUCAUUUCUGUUGUGAUAAAAAUCGAAAAGAUCUAGUCUUCGAAUGUGAAAAUAUCAAAAGAGAUCCGAGAAAGAAGUUAUGAUAAAAAUUGAAAAGAUCUAGUCCGUCGGAUAUGAAAAUACAAAAAAAAAAUCCGAAAAAAAAAGAAAAAUAAAAUACACAAUAGUUAUGUGGUUCGGUCACCAGCCUACGUCCACGGGCGAAGACAGAGCCGAGAUCCUCAUUAUAAUCAAAAUGGUAUACAAAUAUGCCUCUCUCACAAAACUGUAAUCUCAAAAAUGCACCCAUACUCUCUCUCAUCUGCUACAUCAAAUAAAUGAAAUAAAUGGUAUAUUCAUAAUAGUGGCUAAAUCCUAAAUCCUAAUACUUAGUAAUACAAAUCCACUAAGAUUAGGAUUAUCUUAAUUAGAUUAUGUGACACUCAAUAUAGUCCUAUAUAUAAGAUAUAAUAUGGCUAAAACAAUUAACCUGAUUUAAGCAUUUUGGUUAGUGGCUAGACACGAGAGGUUAUAAGCGUGUUAGGACGGGAGUAGUCCUAGGAUAGGUGACCUUCUAGGAAGAUGGGGCGUCACAAUUGGUAUCAGAGCCAAUUACCAGCCGGAAGUGUGAGAUGAGUCUCAGCUGAGGUAGGAUUAUACAGUAGGGAGGGUGAGACACUCAUGCUGUUGACUGUUGUGGGUGCAGAAGUAUAGCUCACUACAAGGUCGAUUUAGGCUAGGAAGAUAAGUCUCACAUCGCCUGAUACUUGUAAGUUUGAGCCUGACGAGAACGUUAGGACUUACGGGGGCGAGAAUGUGAGAUCCUAAAUAGUCUUAUAUAUAAGAUAUAAUAGGGCUAAAACUUUUAAUUCAGCUUAAGCAUUUUGACUGGUGGCUAGACCCAAGAGUUUAAAAGAGUUAAGCGUGCAAGGAGAGGAGUAGUUCUAAGAUGGGUGAUCCCCUGGAAAGUUGGGGCGUCACAGAUCAGGCAUAAUCUAAACAUUAACUUAAUUGGAUAAUCAAAAUAGAAUAGAGUUAGAAAACCUUGCAGUUCUAGAGUUCGUGAUAUAUCUAACAAUUUCUUAAAAAGGAAAAAAAUAAUUGACACUACUAUCAGAUGGUAGAAAUUAAAUUAAUAUCAUAUGAGUUUGAGACAGAUUAAAGGACAAAUAUUUUAGGUCCAGUGCAUGGAAUGCAAAUAGUAUUUUUCAGAUUCACUAGUAACUCAAUUUUAAAAAAAAAAGUCAAGUGGUUGAUAUAUAUAUAUAUGCAAUUAAAAGUUUCAAUGUUUGGAUAACUUCCAAAUGAACCAAAAUUUUGGAACAUGUCAUUUAUAUAUGUAUGGUAGAGCUAUUUUGCUAUCAUAAGCAUAGAGGAUAUGAUACUUUCGACUUUUUUUUUUAAAAUUGAGUUACUAGUGAAUCUGAAAAAUACUAUUCUACAUUUCGGCAGUAAAAAGUGAAAUAUUAUGAAGUAGAGCUACUAUGCUAUCGAAAAAAUAGAAGGUUANUAUGAUACUUUCGACUUUUUAGCCUUUAGAUCAACCCGUUUGAUCAUUUUGAAUCUUUAAAUUAAUACUAUUAUACUGUGGGGACCACUCAACCUUAGAGGUACUACUCAACCCUGGGGGGCCCCGCAAUCAUCCCAACUGUACAAUUCUUAAUCCAAGGGUCAAAAUGUCGGAAACAUUAUAUAUAUAUAUAUAUAUAUAUAUAUAUAUAUAUAUAUAUAUAUAUAUAUAUAUAUAUAUAUAUAAUAUAUAUAUUAUAUAUAUAUAUAUACAGAAUUAGGCUCGAAUACUAUUAAUAGCACCAAUGAGCUUGGUGCUAUUUAAGUUCUGCCGGUUGGAUUAAAGAUUGCGGGUUUAUGGGAUGAUGUGGGCCCACUAGGGUUAAUGUGGAAUGCGUGCUGAUGAGUUAUAUCGAACGGGAUGAAAUGAUAAAAAGGAGAUAAAUCUAAUGGCCAGAAACUGAUGAGAUUAAAUGGUUCGUGCUAUCGUAGGUAUGCCCAGCUAGACUAAAUAAAUAUAAUAUAUAUAUUAUAUAUAAUAUAUAUAUAUAUUAUACUGAAUUGAAGCUCCUAUUGCUUUUAAAAGUACCAAGUUCAUUGGUGCUCUGGUAAGUUUUUAUCUCUUGAUUAAGGAAUGUCGCCCGAGUCAAGAUGAUGGGUCCCCUAGGUUAAGUGCGGUGGUUGGCUUGAAUAGUAUAAUUAGACGGUGCGUGAAAAUGAUCAAAGGGUAGAUCUAACGGUAAAAAAAUUGACACAGCACCAAAUACUUGGGUACUUUACAAGCACCAGUAGCCGAAACUAUUAUAUUUAUAUAUAUAGUGUGUGAUAGUAUAUAUAUAUUAUAUUAUUAUAUAUAUAUAUGUAAUAUAAUUAUAUAUAGUAGAUUUUAGGACUGGAAUUACCGGAUUAAUAGUAAAGACGGUCGUUUGCUAUUCAAAUUGUUUUAACCCUUGGUAUGAAAAAAUUGUAGCGGUCGGGCGAUGAUAUUAAUCGGUUUAGAUUUGAGUGGCCCCCUAGGGUGAGUGGUCCUCACUGAGGUUAUUAGUAUUUUAUCCAAUGGUAGAAAUAAUUAAAAGAGUUGAUUCCAAAGCGCUAAAAAACUGGGGUAGACAAUGAGAUAAGUUUGCUACUAAAGUCAUAGCCAGUCCAACUCUAUAUAUAUAUAUUAAUAUAAGGAGUGCGGAUACAGGAUGCUUAUGGAGAAGCGCGGAUGUCGGCUCGGCUGAUUCCCACUUGUUUUUCGAUGUUCGACACUUUCGACGAUCGGCUUCAUUAGACUUGAUCUAGAGUGAUUUGAUGAGUAUCUAGAAAAUAAAUUUUUGCGACUUUUUUCGUAUCAUUUGCUAGUGAUCGAAAUGGGUGCAAAAGUCAACGGCUAAAACAAAAUCUUUACAAAAAUAUGAGUGAUAUACAUUAAAAUUUUUAGAUCAGUGAUUUGAUCUUGUUUUGUAUAUCGGGUAUAAAGCAAUUUUCUCAUCAAAAUUUUCACGGUGAUUUGUGGAUGACUUUCUACACCGGUUAAAUUCAACCGGCGACCCACGGCGUUAAAAGUUAUUAUUUUGAGCCUUCGAUACACUAGACAAAUGAUAUCGAAAAUUGAAAAGUUUAUUCCUAGGAUACUGUUCAAAUGUCAUAGAUAACUCUAACGAGCUAUCGUCGAUUCGAAAGUACGAACAAUCGAAACAACUUGGAGCAAGUCAUACCAGGCACAAACUCUAUAUAUAAUAUAUAUAUAUAUAUAUAUAUAUAUAUAUAUAUAUUUAAUAUAUUAGAUACUAUAGUAGUAUAUAUAUAUAUAUGUGUGUGUGCUGUUGGGUGGCUGUGUGUGUUGUGUGUGUAUAUAAUAUAAUACACAUAUAUAUUAUUACACAGUAAUGAUAUAUAUUGACACAUAUAAUUAUUAUAUAUACACAACAUAUAUAUAUAUAUACACACUAUAUAUAUAUAUAUAUAUAUAUAGUAUAUAUAUAUAUUUAUAUAUAUAUAUAUAUAUGUGGUGUGUGGCUGUGUGUGUGGGUCGUGUGUGUGUGUGUGUUAUAUAUAUAUAACAUAUAUAUAUAUCGACAGCAUAUAUAUAUUAUAUAUAACAUUAAUAUAUAUAUACACAUAUAUAUAUAUAUUACACAAUAAUACUAUAUAUCACAUAUAUAUAUAUAUAAACGUAUAUAUAUAUACACACACAUAUAUAUAUACUAUAUAUAUAAUCAUAUAUAUUUAUAUAAUAUAUAUCUAAUAUACUAUAUGUGUUGUGUGUGUUCUAUUAUAAUAUAUGUGUAUAUAUAUGUGUGUGUAUAUAUAUGUGCGUGUUAUAUUAACUUAUAUGUGUAUUAUAAUAUAUAUGGGUGUGGUAUAUAUAUAUAUAUAUGUGCGAGUUAUUAUAUAUAUAUGUGUAUAUAUAAUAUACUAUAUGUGAUAUAGGUAUAUAUAUUAUGUACAUAUACAUACUAUACAUAUCUAAUAUGAAUAUAUAUUAUAUAUUAUAUGUAUAUUAUAUAUAUAUAUAUACACAUAUAUAUUUAUAUACACAUAUAUAUAUAUAUAGUAUACAUUCUAAUAUAUAUAUAUGUAUAUUAUACAUAUAUAAUAUAUAUACUACUAUAUAUAAUUAUAUAUAUAUAUAUAUGAUGUGGGUAUAUAUAUAUGGUGGAUAUAUUAUAUAUAUAUGUGUAUAUAUAUUAUAUAUGUGUAUAUAUAGUAUAUAGUGUAUAUAUAUACUAUAAUGUGCAUAUAUAUUAUAUAUUAUAUACAUAAUAUAUAUAUUAUAUAUUAAUAUAGCAAUAUAUAUAUAUAGUAUACAUAUAAGUAAUAUAUGUUGUGACGGUGUGUGUGUGUUGUGUGUUGUGUGUGUGUGUGGUGUUGUUACUGUGUGGUGUGUGUGUGUGUGUUGUGAUGUGUUGGUGUGUGUGUGUGUGGUGUUGUAAGAACUUCUGGAAGCACAGUACGUUCCGUGCUUUAGUUAUUUUCGAUGUUUCGGAUUUCAAAUCGACAAUCGGUGUUAGAUUUCGAUCUAGAGAUAUGUUGAAGUAUCUUAGAAAAUAAAUUUUGCGCAUUUCGAUAUCAUCGCUGACCUAGUGAUUCGAAGUGGCUCAAAUAACGGCUGAAAAUAAAAUCAUACAAAAUAUGAUGAUAUGACAUUAAAAUUUUAGAUCAAAGUUAUUGAUCUUGUUUUAAUAUGGAUAUAAAAAAUUUUCUAUCAAAAAUUCAUUAUGAUUUGCGAUAUUCUACACCGUUAAAAUUGCAAACGGCUCACCAACGGCCAGUUAAAAUUAUUGAUUUUGAGCCCCUUAAUCGAUCACUAUACAAAUGAUAUCGAAAAUCAAAAAUUUAUUUUUUAGCUACGUUCAAAUACUCGAGAUUCAACUCUAACGGUAAGUCGAUGCCAAAUUCGAAAGUCGUAACAUCGAAAAACAAACUUUGAAGCACGGAGGGCCUCCGAUGCUUCGAGAAGAUACCGAGACGGCACUCCAUUACUAUAUAAUAUUUAUAUAGCAGGACUUACUGUGCUCUAGGAGCACGGAGGCCUCCGUGCUCCUUAGCCUUUUUUUAUGAGUGGAAUAUUUUCGAAUCGCUGAUGUGGUCCGGUUAGACUUAUCUAAGGCAUAUGUGAAGUUCUAGAAAUCAAUUUUGUGAUUUUUCAAUAUCAUUUAUCCUAGCAAUUGAAGAUCUCAAAAUCAUUAACUUGUUUAACGGCUUGAAAAUAAAAAUCUAUAAAAGUGGUGAUACUUAGCACCUAUAAAUUUGUCGAUCAAAAUAUUGAAUCUUGUUGUAGAUAGUUAUAAAAAAUAUUGUAUCAAAAUUUUAUCUGAUUUGAAUAUUUCUACACCCGUUAAACAGAGAACAACGGACAAGGAUUAUCGACUAUUAAAAAUUAUUAAUUUGGAAUCCUUUCGAUCACUAGGGUAAAUGAUAUCAGAAAAAUAUGAAAAUUACUUUCUAGAAAUGUUCAAAUACCCUAAUCAAGUUUAACGGAUAGUUCACGUUAUCGUCGAUCUUGAAAUUCCAUCAUCGAUCACAACGUGGCUCAGGGAGCACGAGCCUUCCGUGUGUCACUGAGAGGCACAACAACCUACUCUAUAUAUGUAUAUAUAUAUAUAGUGAGAGAGAUGCAGAGAGAGAUGAGAGAGAUAGAGCGUAGAGCUCAGAAUACUCCCAAAAACACCAAUGGGUUGGUUGCUUGUGAGUCUUUUGCCAGUUGAUUGGAGAGAUGUUGAGGUUGGAUGAUUGGUGGUAGGUGGUGUAGGUGCGAGAAUAGUAUUUUGACCAAAGCGUUAUUAGUAUUUUAAGGAGAAAUUCCAAGGGCUAAAAACGUUAGAAGCACCAAGGGGCCUAAUUACUUCCUAAAGUAUUCUAGCUCUAAUUUUUAUUUAUAUACUAUUAUACUAUACUAUAUACUAUAUAGUAUAGUUAUAUGCGUCCGGCUCCUUAUUUACUCAUUAUGAGGUACGAUUGCCCUAGUAUCUCAUAAGUUGCUUAUUUUCGGAUGACUAGAGCUUCGAAUCGACGAUCCACCGUGUAAACGUUAUUUUUGCCAGCAGUUAAAACUUCUAAGAAAUCAAAUUUUUAGUAAUUUUUCGUAGAAUCAUUUACCUUACAAAUCAAGACGGUCACAUGACAAUUUUUAAGGCCGGUUAUGCGGAUACUUGACUAGUUUAAACGGUUCAGUAAAAGAAUCGGAAUUUAGUUGAAUUUUUGAUAAGAAAAUUUUAUUCACUAAUACGAUAAAGUAUCAAAACUCCGAUCUUUGAAUUGAAGGAUCGAUCGAUCUUUUUUAGGAGUCGUCUCGGAUUUUUCACCAUCAUUUUAUGCGGCCAUGAUGGAUUUAUUCAUGGAUUUCCAAAAUUGUUACAAAAUUUAUUUAAUUGCUAAAGUGUUCAAUUGCGUAGAUCAUAAUUUAAAGCGAGUGGAUCGUUGAUUGGGAAGCCUCCCUUCAUUCGGAAAACAAACUUAAUGGUACGAGGGCUCUGAAUAUUGCAUAAUAGUAUAGUACCCAUGGGCUAUAUAUAUAUACUAUAUAUAUAUAUAUAUAUAGUAUAUAGUAUAUAUAUAUAUAAGUGCGGUCUGGUAUGCUUGUGGAAGACGGACGCUUCGUGUUCCAAGUUGUUUUCGAUGUUCGGACUUUCGAAUCGACGAUCGGCUCGUUAGGACUGAUCUAAAGUAUUUGAAGUACUAGAAAAUAAAUUCAGCUGGCGAUUUUUGAGUAUGAUUCGCCUAAGUGACGAAGUGAUUACUCAAAUCUCAACGGCUUAAAAUAAAACAUCUUCACAAAAUUGAUGAUAUUUAAUUAAAAUUUAUAGAUCAAGUCAUUGAUCUUGUUUUAUAUGGUUAAAGAAUUUUCUUAUCAAAAUUUAUAUUGAUUUGGAUAUUUCCUACACGUUAAACUUGCAACGGAUCCUCACAAAGGCCCAAUUAAAUUUUCUGAUUUGAGCCCCUUCGAUCACAGGCAACAUGUAUUGAAAAAUCACAAAUUUAUUUUCUAGUACUUCAAAUACUUUAAGAUAACCUCUAACGGACUGAUCGUGUAUUCGCGAAAAGUUCGAACAUCAGAAGAACUUGGAUGCGCGGAGAGCGCCGUCUGUCCACGCACAGUCUGCUUUCCAGAAGCGUACCGCACGCUCUCUCUCUGAUCACACCUCCAAUCCGCCAAUCGUCGGAGUUCGGGUCACGUCAAUAGACGCCGAACGAUAGCAUCUCCCCUGUCCGCCCAAGGCUCCCAACAAGUAUAAUAAGCAAUCAACAAAGGAGAUAUGCAAUUAUACAUAAGGCUUGCACGAGGGCAAGAACAAUGGAAGCAAAUAGCUCUAAGGUAAUAUAUUAACCAUUACAUAUAUUUGAUUACAUUUUUAACAAAUACAAGUAAACUACAAACUAAUUACAUCUUUUUUCAUUCAACAUAAUUCUUUACAUUUUUGUCAUUCUCCAAAAUACAUGAUAUGUUUUCAACUUUACAAUUCUAAAUCAACAAAAUAAAAGUUGAUACAUGUAGACAAAAGGAAUGACUAAUUUAUAAGUCCCGAUGGCCACUAGCUUUGGCGCAAUACUCUUGCCAUGGUCCUCCGUCGCCCCGUUCGUGCUCGGACCUGUAGGAUUAGUGGUGUGAGAACUACAACGAAGUUCCCAGUGGGUUCGGCAACCGACCUCGCCGACUUACCCACUAGGUCUAUUCAGGCAUAAGUAUUUCAAAGAAAUGAAAACUGUAACCAAUGCUAAUGCUAAUACUAUGCCUGCAAGAAAGAUGUCAGUGGAUAUAUAAUCGAAUAAUGAAUGCUCAUGCAUGCAUGCUUGUUCCAUACUUUACUUUGGCUUUUACCCAAUCUUGCCAGUUAACCUUGUUAACCCCAAUAACUCACAACCCAAAAUUUCUUAAUAACGGGGGACUCGAACCACCCUAAGGACCGUCCUCUGGGGGGACUUUACCACGCCCAGUGGUGACCAACUCCGGAGCGCACCGCUCGAGGGGGAGCUACCUCCCUCAAACCAAGACUUAUCGUGAGUAUCAAUCCAAUCCUCAACUUGAGGAUACAUAGCCACUAGUCACAAUGCCAUUGUCAUAAUAGGUUUCUACCUAUUUGUUCAUGCUACUUUCCAAGUCAUACUUGUCACAAUGUCACUAUGGUUAAACUAUGUUUAACAACCAAAAUUUCUCAAUGACAAUCAUGUCUCUAUUGUCAAUAUCACCUUUGUUUACUAUUGUCAAAGUCCAAGUCUCACAUUCAUACAACUGUAGGGUUCUACCAUACAUGUCUAUUAUGGUUCUAUCAUUCUCUAUAUUCAACUACGUUAAAAGCAUGUAAUGAAAUCAAACCAAGGUUCACAUGUAAUUUAACCCUACUAUGCAUGAAUGACUAUACAUCAAUAUGCUCAACGAAAAGAUGAAAUAGACAUAAAGGGGAAUCCGAUAAUUCCAGUGUGCACCCCCCACCUUGAGUGGUAGUAGAUGAAGAAUACGAUGACUUCCAAACUUUACGAACGCCGAAUCAGCGUCCUAUAACCAAAAUAGUGCCAAAUUAGGCCCUAUAUAUACAAACUAUACUUAGAUAUUUUCGUAACGUCGAACGGAGUUGUCCAACGCGUCGGGAAUACCGCCAAUUAGGUUUCCAAGUGGUCAAUUUGCCUCGAAAAAAUUCUAGGGCAAAAGCCCCAAUUUAGGUGCCCUAACAAUACCAUAUUCAAAUUUCUCCUAGAUUGAUCUCUUUUCUAAGCAAAUGAUAGCUUAGAAUCACCUAGGAAGCUCUCUUAUAUCAUUUCCAAGUUAUUGGAACCAUCCCUAGGGCAUCUAACAUGAUCCCUAAUUAAUCACCAUGGGAGCACCUUGAGAAACCAUGGAUUUUCAUGUGUUCAAGGCCUCAACUAGGCUUCUAAACAUGAGAGAAGCCCCAAAACCUAGAGUUCUAUAGUGAAAAUCCAAACCCUAGAACUAUACUUGCAAAGGAACUCACCUUAGCCCUAGUCUUGCAAGUCCUCCUUGUCAGAGAGCCACAAAAUCCACCAAAGCCUUCAAAACCCACUGUAAGUUUUAAGGGAGCCCAAGGAUCUAUCUAAAUUGUAUCCAACACCUAGAGGGGGGUGAAUAGGUGUAAUGCCCAAAAACCACAAAUCUCAAUGCAAUAAAAAAUAAUGCGAAAAAUAAAAAUCACACCGAGAUUUAUGUGGAAAAACUCCAACUUGGAGUAAAAAACCCACGGGACCAACACGUGGUAACAAUCCACUAAGAAUAAAAGAUUACAAGGUGAUUUACCGAAUCCACGGACUCAAACCUCUCUUUUAUCUUCUCCGGAUCUUGCGCACACCAACGAGUUGUCCACGCCCCAUGUCCGAAUCCACAAACGCCACAUUCUGAAUCCACGAAACGUCACCACUUCGAAUCCACGAACCCACGAUCCGAAUCCACGAACCGCCUUCGUUCACGCCGAAUCCACGACGCCGUUCAUGAAGAGCAUCAUGAUUAUGGUGAUCCUUCGCUU